AUGGUCUGCAAUGAUGUAACAAUGACAGUCAUCCUGUCAUCAUUGCAGACCAUGUCAUUGUUACAUCAUUGCAGACCGU
rnacentral:pre_miRNA from 1 species